AUAGCAAUCACUCCCCUAUAAUAAUAUUGCUCUACUAGCCCAAUACACGAGAGGGGACUAUAUAAGAAUCAAUGAAGCUGUCACUAUCACAAACUACCCCACGAUCUGGCAUAUUGGGUACAAUCGCAGAUAAAUACGGUAUAAGCACCACGCCUACACAAUAUCUAUCAUUUAGCCAUGGAUCCGAUGGAUAAACGCUAUACGAUCCUAAGCAUGUAUAUAAAUCCAAUCUAACUAAGCCAAGUACAUAACUAUGAUAAACUAAGAACAAUAUAAUCUUGAAUAUAAGCAAGUAGAGCAAAGUCAUAAGCAAUAUAUUGAAGUAGAACAAAGUCAUAUUCAUAAUAUUGAAGAACAGAGAUGAUUAGAAGAACAAUUAGAAGCACAAUUAGAGAAUUACCAAGAAUCCUCUUGACAGAUCCGGAAACCAAUCGAAGAUUGACUCCUUCUAGUUCUAAUCCUAUGUAGCUAUGCUAAUCUAGAUAUCUAAUUGAUGUGGUGGCUCUAAUCUUGAUCAGGGCUUCUUCUCCCUUGAGGAAUAAUGAAUUAGGGGUGAGAGGCUCUCUCCACUUGGGGCCGGGGGGUCUGGUUUUAUAGUCCCUUCAAAUGAAUAUGGACCGUUGGAUCAAACCGACAUUGAUUGAACGGUUAUCCUUGAUCCUUUAGGUCAGUGGAGAUCUUCCCCGAAACAGAGUCCUGAUUGGCUUCUGCUUCCUUCCCGUGGCUUCUGGAGUCUUCUAGAUGUAAGAUAAUUGCGCGGCACGUUAAUAUCUCUAUGUAAUCCCGACGUGUGGGCCUUUCUUCCGUAUUCCCUGAUAACCCCCUGCAGAAAUAGACAAACACCAAAACUCAUGGAAUUCUGUCAGAUAAAACCCUAAGUAUAGAUGUUGAUUUCAUUUGGAUCCUUUUCUUUGUUUAUUUGAUAAUUAAAUUUGAUAUUUAAGGACCGUCAACGAACUCCCGCAAGCUUACCUCUUGCUCGUCCCUGAGCAAGGAUAGACUCAAUAAUGGAUGAGAAGUUGUUGCAAUAUCUUUAAAAAUUGACGGUACACAUGCUUUUAAAUAAGAUCUUAUCUCUGAGUUAGAGUAAACUGUCAAGACUUAAAACUCACUUACUUUACCUUUCACCAUGGGACUUGUAACCGUCACUUCUGUCUUGAGUAGUUAAAAGAUAGAACAGUCUAGUCAACUGCCAUGUCUCUUAUUCUUGAUCAGCUAUAGCUCUGGAGUUUUUGCAGAUUUUCAAAUAAAACUCAGAGAUUCCUUGUAUGAUUCUCUCAGAUCUCUCUUUUGUGGUAUUUUUGGAUCCUUACCAAGGCAGUGAUGGUAUAUGCCUUCUCUCAAAAUAUGUAGUAUUUAUGGUAUAAGGCAUAGUGACAUUGCCUUCUCUCUCACCCUACUCUAAUAAGGCUUUAAUAUCUGGAGCUCAUAGGUGGGAGAUAAAAUAUACAUACUUACAAGACAUGUAUUGUAUAGUCAAACCAUGGAUCCAAAGAAACAAAUCAAUAAGUCAAAUCAAGAUGUGCAUGUGUGGCGAAUGAAUGGUAUAUGGUGAUGAUGGUGAUAACAAUGGUGAAAGUCUAAUUCUACUUUUGCUCUUUUGAGGGGAUACAUACCUUCCUUGCUUUCUGAAACUUUAUGAGGAGAAUGAGAUGCUCUUCUUUUUCUUUUCUCUCAGGUGGGUAUCUUGUACCCCUAAUUCUACUGUCGGACACUUGUCCAUUCUUACCUCUCGUCUCACUUUUUCUUUUCUUUCCGAGGUUCCGGGCACUUGCCCCUUUUUAUUUCCUCGUAUUAUUUUUUCUUUCUUUUUUCUUUCUUUUUUUAGAGCACUCAUCUCUUGAGAUAAUAUAGCAAGUGGUAGUAACAAGAUAACUUGAGCAUUUAUUUCACAAGGGAAAAAACAGAAAUAUUUUUGGUUAUUCUCUCCCGCAUUAGGAGUAGAAUAUUUUUGGGUGAUUCUAGAGAUGGAAAUGGAUGGAUAUAUGUGGAUGGUACUUCCGGAAUAGAAGUAGCAUGUGUGAGUGAACGUGCAAAUGAAUCUUGAUUUAACCACAUGACAAGCUCCUAAGGGUCUACACUACUUGACCACACUCAAUGCUCAUAAGUAGUAAAUAGUUAAUGUGUGGCUCAAAGUCUAGCAAUCAUGUAUAUAAGGCUGUGGUAGAAAUUUAAACUCUCAUCAUACAGGAACUCAUCAUGUAAUAUUUUAAAGAUUUUUAAAGAUAUAAUUCUCCAGAAUUCUAGCAUCUCUAGGAACAGAUAAACAGCAGCUCAACUUUCCCAUAUCAUAUCCGUUAACAACUUAGACUUCAGAUCAAGUUUUCAUCCCACAAGUUUAGGUCUAGAGCAAGCUUUAAAUUAUAACAGUUAUGUCUAACCUCGAGAGAGAAUUUUAAAUUUUAAAAAUUAAGCAGAGCAACUAUUCAUCAUAUCCAUGAUAAAGUUUAUUAUUAAGAUUCAGAUUAGCAUAGCCACUUUAUUUAUUUAUUAAGCACACUAAGCAAAAGAUAUAUAUAUUUAUAUAAGCACAAAAUCUUUAUUUCGUUUUUCCUAGUUUAUGUAUAUUUAUAUUCUAAUAUAAUAUAAGUAUAAAGAUAGGUAGAAAUACUUAUCGGGAUAAAUGGGAGUGCUCUCCCCCAAGCUAAAUUUUGACGUAAUUUCUCUUGAUGUAGCUAGCAGGUGGCAGAGGUGUAUUUGAAAGUCGGCAGCAUCCUGACAGCGAUUAGAAUGUCCUCCGUCUGCUAGUCUUCUUGAUUUUUGAAUUCUGUGGAGCUCAAAUAGACAACAAAGCUUUUGGAACUGAUUAAGUGUUAGCAUAAAUAUCUAGCCUUUAUCAUGUUGAGACUCCUAAAUAACUAUUACUCCCUAUUUUUAUAUUUUCAUUUUAUAAAGCAGAAAACAAAUAUUUAUUUUAUUUUUAUGCCACCACAGUGAAUGUACUUAUGGGUUUUAUGCCACUCGUAUACUCACAUGGGGCUUACUGUUUUAACAUUUUUAUUUUCUUUUUAGGAUAGUAUGAUUAUAAGUUAUUAAGUAAAAUAAUUGAAAGGGAAAGGAUAACUACCAAUUUACCUCUUGGCAAGGUGUUCGGUGUUUUUAAGUUCUCCGAACGGGACUCUCCAUUUUCUUCAAUUGUCAUGGGAUUCGUUGGGUGGCGUAGUCGGUACUUCCGGCGGCGCCUCUUCUUCAUGUAUAGUUAUCUUCUCUUUCCAUACCUGACUCGGUGCUUCGGUCUCCUCUAGAUAAUUCUGUUUAAACUCUACGUCUUCUGACCCUAUUACUUUUCCUUCAUAGUCUGCCCAUCCAUCCUUGAUGAUUUGUCUCCUCUGGUUGCGGUUGCGUCAUUUUCUGACCUGCUUAGAUUCUUCAACGAUAUAGUUAGGGUCAAUGAAAUAGCGGUGUACCUUCUCUGAGGGGAAGUGCAUAUGGACUUCUCCAAUUCCAAUGUAGAUGAUUGCUUUAACGGUGCUGAGGAACGGUCUUCCAAGGAUGAUGGGUGGAUCGUAUUCAUCUUCUCCCAUGUCAAUAACCUGAAAGUCUGUGUAGACAAAAUGAUCAUCUAUCUUGACUGGGACAUCAGUCACUGUUCCUUUAACCUCUCGAAAUGUCUGAUCUGCCAUCUGGAGCUAAACGUAUGUUGGUUUUAGGGGCAUGGUUCCGAACAAGAGCCGAUAGGUGACUGCGGCCAUAAUGUUGACGCCCGAUUCGGUGUCGCAAAACGUCUUGUAGAAGUUGUAUCCAUUUAUGGAGCAAUAGAUGCUUGGCAUUCCUAGGUCGUCCUUCUCUGUCAAAAAUGGUGACUUAAGUUGAUGAUCUUGACCUCCAUGAACUGCAGUGACCAUCUUAGCUGACUCGGUCCACACUUGCUUGUUCCUGUUCCUCCUAUUGGUCCUCUUUCUUGAUUCACGUCUGGACUAAUCUGGGAUUUGUGUAGUCUUGUUCUUGAAGGAAAACGUCUCCUUCCUCCCUUUGAUGUAGAAACUGAUCUUGGCAGCACUAGCGUAGAUGACAGCUCCCGAGGUGUUUAAGAAUGGCCUCCCUAAGAUGAUGGGUGCCCUCUCAUCAUUAACGGUCUCUACCACUACGAAGUCCGCUGGG
rnacentral:lncRNA from 1 species